rnacentral:rRNA from 1 species
AGUCAUAUGCUUGUCUCAAAGAUUAAGCCAUGCAUGUGUAAGUACAAACCAACACAAGGUGAAACCGCGAAUGGCUCAUUAAAUCAGCUGUGGUUCAUUGGACCUUAAACCCACUUACUUGGAUAACUGUGGUAAUUCUAGAGCUAAUACAUGCGUCCAGUCUCUGACCGCAAGGGAAGAGCGCUCUUAUUAGUCCAAAACCGGUCGGGCCUCGGUCCGUAACCCGAAGGUGGUGAAUCUGAAUAAUUUUGACCUGAGCGCACGGUCUCCGCACCGGCGCCGUAUCCUUCAAGUGUCUGCCUUAUCAGCUGUCGACUGUAGGUUAUGUGCCUACAUUGGCUAUAACGGGUAACGGGGAAUCAGGGUUCGAUUCCGGAGAGGGAGCCUGAGAAACGGCUACCACAUCUAAGGAAGGCAGCAGGCACGCAAAUUACCCACUCCCGGCACGGGGAGGUAGUGACGAAAAAUAACGGUGCGAGACUCAUCCGAGGCCUCGCAAUCGGAAUGAGUACACUUUAAAUCCUUUAACGAGGAUCAAUUGGAGGGCAAGUCUGGUGCCAGCAGCCGCGGUAAUUCCAGCUCCAAUAGCGUAUAUUAAAGUUGUUGCGGUUAAAAAGCUCGUAGUUGGCACUCAGUUCCGGACUGACGGUGCACCGCCCGGUGUCUCUCCGUCACGCUCCGAACAGCAGGGCCGACCCUGCCCGGCCGGCUCGCACGGGGUGCUCUUCACCGAGUGUCCCGGGUGGCCGGCGAGUUUACUUUGAAAAAAUUAGAGUGCUCAAAGCAGGCUACUUGAACGGCCUGAAUGGUGAUGCAUGGAAUAAUGGAAUAGGACCUCGGUUCUAUUUUAUUGGUUUUCGGAUCCAGAGGUAAUGACGAAUAGAAACAGGCGGGGGCAUUCGUACUGCGACGCUAGAGGUGAAAUUCUUGGACCGUCGCAAGACGAACUACUGCGAAAGCAUUUGCCAAGGAUGUUUUCAUUAAUCAAGAACGAAAGUUAGAGGUUCGAAGGCGAUCAGAUACCGCCCUAGUUCUAACCAUAAACGAUGCUGACUAGCGAUCCGCCGGCGUUAUUCCCAUGACCCGGCGGGCAGCUUCCGGGAAACCAAAGUCUUUGAGUUCCGGGGGAAGUAUGGUUGCAAAGCUGAAACUUAAAGGAAUUGACGGAAGGGCACCACCAGGAGUGGAGCCUGCGGCUUAAUUUGACUCAACACGGGGAACCUCACCAGGCCCGGACACCGGGAGGAUUGACAGAUUGAGAGCUCUUUCUCGAUUCGGUGGGUGGUGGUGCAUGGCCGUUCUUAGUUGGUGGA